rnacentral:rRNA from 1 species
UAGGGAAUCUUCGGCAAUGGGGGGAACCCUGACCGAGCAACGCCGCGUGAGUGAAGAAGGUUUUCGGAUCGUAAAGCUCUGUUGUUAAGGAAGAACGAGUGUGAGAAUGGAAAGUUCAUACUGUGACGGUACUUAACCAGAAAGGGACGGCUAACUACGUGCCAGCAGCCGCGGUAAUACGUAGGUCCCGAGCGUUGUCCGGAUUUAUUGGGCGUAAAGCGAGCGCAGGCGGUUAGAUAAGUCUGAAGUUAAAGGCAGUGGCUCAACCAUUGUAGGCUUUGAAAACUGUUUAACUUGAGUGCAGAAGGGGAGAGUGGAAUUCCAUGUGUAGCGGUGAAAUGCGUAGAUAUAUGGAGGAACACCAGUGGCGAAGGCGACUCUCUGGUCUGUAACUGACGCUGAGGCUCGAAAGCGUGGGUAGCAAACAGG